CCUCUGCAAUUCUUUUUCACAUAUCUCAAACUAAAUUAUCAAUUUUCUCAGAAUCCUCUCAUGUCUCGUCUCUUCAUCUCUCAUAUCUGGUCAUCUGCAAUCUUCUUUUCUCUGGUGAGCUCCUCACAUCUUCUUCUAAGAAACCCCUCUGUCUCUCCAACCACCGUUGAUAAGCUUCACCACCACGCUCCUUUUGGAACCAUUACGUCGUCACAAAAACACAUCAAUGCCUCUGCUCACAUAUCCAUCGUUACCCUCUCUCCUCUCCGGAGACACAGAAACAAGAAACAAAACGUCGUCACCUGUCUCCAUCUCCACCUUGUUUCAGGAUAAACAGAAGAUGAAGAACAUCAGGACACGGAGAGAAGAGAGAAGAGGCGAAGUCGGAGCUCUGUAGUGAUGGAGAUAGCGGCUAUGACUGUGAUGGGAACUUGUCUCCAACUUGCUUUUAGUCUGAGAAUUUCGUGUGUCCUGUGUUCAUUUGAACUGAGAGAUACUUUUGUGUUUCAGAAAUUGAUGUAUCAACAUGAAAGCGGUCUUUUCGAUUUUAGACGGACUGAAAGCUCUCCGUUGCUGCUUGUAAUUGACAAAAGAGAUGACCCGGUACGGUUACCCCAUUGCUUAAUCAGUGGACAUAUCAGGCAAUGGUGCACGAACUCAUA